GAAUUUGGCUGGAGAAGAGAGAUUAUUAUUGAUGUUGACCUCUGGGUUUACUUAAGGCUUGGAUACGAUUUAUGAGAUGCAUCAUAGGCGUAUUCUAUCAUCAAAGUUUGCUUCUAGAAAAGAAACAUAUGGGACUGGAAUGAUGGCUUUGCGGUUAAGAGCACUGACUGCUCUUCUAGAGGACCUGGAUUUUGUUCUGUGGCUUACAACUGCAUCCAACUCCAGUUCCAGGGGAUCUGACUCCCUCUCCUGGAAUUCUCAGGGAAGCUCCUGAAACCAGAAGGCAAACGUCAAAACAGCUUCAGGAAGUCCCUGAAACUGACAAGAUUCACUAGGCACCUCUUCUCCAAGAGUAAACUAUAAAGAUUGCUGAGAGUCCCUCUCAGACAAGGCAAGCUACAAAGAAGACUCUGAGACCAGACCUGCUGCCUGGAUGAAGCAGAGACCAGCCAAGCUGCCUAAAAGAGGUUUAGAGCAACCGAGUCACCGGAAAAGGAUACUCUCCAACCUGUUGAGCUGCCUGCAAGCAUGUGCAGUGUACUACAAGUUCCUAGCUUUGUGAGCUGUCUGUCACCCAUGCUGGGGUGGGCUUUGGUGACACAGCUGUCUUUGAGUCACUUCUACUCCUAUAACCCUUACCCAUGUUCCCGUAAGUAACUCCAAUA